GGGAAACUGCUGCUAAUACCGCAUGACACCUGAGGGUCAAAGGCGCAAGUCGCCUGUGGAGGAGCCUUCGUCCGAUUAGCUAGUUGGUGGGUAAAGGCCUACCAAGGCGACGAUCGGUAGCUGGUCUGAGAGGAUGAUCAGCCACACUGGGACUGAGACACGGCCCAGACUCCUACGGGAGGCAGCAGUGGGGAAUAUUGGACAAUGGGCGCAAGCCUGAUCCAGCAAUGCCGCGUGUGUGAAGAAGGCCUGCGGGUUGUAAAGCACUUUUGUUCGGGAAGAAAUCAUGUCGGUUAAUACCCGAUGUGGAUGACGGUACCGAAAGAAUAAGCACCGGCUAACUUCGUG
rnacentral:rRNA from 1 species